rnacentral:rRNA from 1 species
UGGGGAAUAUUGCACAAUGGGCGCAAGCCUGAUGCAGCCAUGCUGCGUGUAUGAAGAAGGCCUUCGGGCUGUAAAGUACUUUCAGCGAGGAGGAAGGCGUUGUGGUUAAUAACCGCAACGAUUGACGUUACUCGCAGAAGAAGCACCGGCUAACUCCGUGCCAGCAGCCGCGGUACUACGGAGGGUGCAAGCGUUAAUCGGAAUUACUGGGCGUAAAGCGCACGUAGGCGGUCUGUCAAGUCGGAUGUGAAAUCCCCGGGCUCAACCUGGGAACUGCAUCCGAAACUGGCAGGCUAGAGUCUUGUAGAGGGGGGUAGAAUUCCAGGUGUAGCGGUGAAAUGCGUAGAGAUCUGGAGGAAUACCGGUGGCGAAGGCGGCCCCCUGGACAAAGACUGACGCUCAGGUGCGAAAGCGUGGGGAGCAAACA